GAUGAACGCUGGCGGCGUGCCUAAUACAUGCAAGUCGAGCGAACAGACAAGGAGCUUGCUCCUCUGACGUUAGCGGCUGACGGGUGAGUAACACGUGGAUAACCUACCUAUAAGACUGGGAUAACUUCGGGAAACCGGAUCUAAUAACGGAUCAUAUAUCGAACCGCAUGGUUCAAUAGUGAAAGACGGCUUUGCUGUCACUUAUAGAUGGUUCCGCGCCGCAUUAGCUAGUUGGUAAGGUAACGGCUUACCAAGGCAACGAUGCGUAGCCGACCUGAGAGGGUGAUCGGCCACACUGGAACUGAGACACGGUCCAGACUCCUACGGGAGGCAGCAGUAGGGAAUCUUCCGCAAUGGGCGAAAGCCUGACGGAGCAACGCCGCGUGAGUGAUGAAGGUCUUCGGAUCGUAAAACUCUGUUAUUAGGGAAGAACAAAUGUGUAAGUAACUAUGCACGUCUUGACGGUACCUAAUCAGAAAGCCACGGCUAACUACGUG
rnacentral:rRNA from 1 species